rnacentral:rRNA from 1 species
GGUUAAGUGAAUAAGGGCGCACGGUGGAUGCCUUGGCACUAGGAGCCGAUGAAGGACGGGACUAACACCGAUAUGCUUUGGGGAGCUGUAAGUAAGCUAUGAUCCAGAGAUUUCCGAAUGGGGGAACCCAAUAUCUUUUAUAGGAUAUUACUUUUCAGUGAAUACAUAGCUGAUUAGAGGUAGACGCAGAGAACUGAAACAUCUUAGUACCUGCAGGAAGAGAAAGAAAAUUCGAUUCCCUGAGUAGCGGCGAGCGAAACGGGAAGAGCCCAAACCAACAAGCUUGCUUGUUGGGGUUGUAGGACUCCGAUAUGGUAGUCUGUUAGUAUAGUUGAAGGAUUUGGAAAAUUCCGCUAAAGAGGGUGAAAGCCCCGUAGACGAAAUGCUGACAACACCUAGGAGGAUCCUGAGUACGGCGGAACACGAGAAAUUCCGUCGGAAUCCGCGGGGACCAUCCCGCAAGGCUAAAUACUCCCUAGUGACCGAUAGUGAACCAGUACCGUGAGGGAAAGGUGAAAAGCACCCCGGAAGGGGAGUGAAAUAGAUCCUGAAACCGUGUGCCUACAACAAGUCAAAGCUCGUUAAUGAGUGAUGGCGUGCCUUUUGUAGAAUGAACCGGCGAGUUACGAUUGCAUGCGAGGUUAAGUCGAAGAGACGGAGCCGCAGCGAAAGCGAGUCUGAAUAGGGCGAAUGAGUAUGUAGUCGUAGACCCGAAACCAUGUGAUCUACCCAUGUCCAGGUUGAAGGUGCGGUAAAACGCACUGGAGGACCGAACCCACGUACGUUGAAAAGUGCGGGGAUGAGGUGUGGGUAGCGGAGAAAUUCCAAACGAACUUGGAGAUAGCUGGUUCUCUCCGAAAUAGCUUUAGGGCUAGCCUCGGAAUUGAGAAUGAUGGAGGUAGAGCACUGUUUGGACUAGGGGCCCAUCUCGGGUUACCGAAUUCAGAUAAACUCCGAAUGCCAUUCAUUUAUAUCCGGGAGUCAGACUGCGAGUGAUAAGAUCCGUAGUCGAAAGGGAAACAGCCCAGACCACCAGCUAAGGUCCCAAAAUAUAUGUUAAGUGGAAAAGGAUGUGGGGUUGCACAGACAACUAGGAUGUUGGCUUAGAAGCAGCCACCAUUUAAAGAGUGCGUAAUAGCUCACUAGUCGAGUGACCCUGCGCCGAAAAUGUACCGGGGCUAAACAUAUUACCGAAGCUGUGGACUACACCAUUAGGUGUAGUGGUAGGAGAGCGUUCUAAGGGCGUUGAAGGUCGAUCGUGAGGACGGCUGGAGCGCUUAGAAGUGAGAAUGCCGGUAUGAGUAGCGAAAGACAGGUGAGAAUCCUGUCCACCGUAUGACUAAGGUUUCCUGGGGAAGGCUCGUCCGCCCAGGGUUAGUCGGGACCUAAGCCGAGGCCGAUAGGCGUAGGCGAUGGACAACAGGUUGAUAUUCCUGUACCAGUUGUUUUUGUUUGAGCAAUGGAGGGACGCAGUAGGCUAAGGAAUGCAUGCGAUUGGAAGUGCAUGUCCAAGCAAUGAGUCUUGAGUAGAGUUAAAUGCUUUACUCUCUAAGGACAAGUUGUGACGGGGAGCGAAAUAAUAGUAGCGAAGUUCCUGAUGUCACACUGCCAAGAAAAGCUUCUAGUGAGAAAACAACUGCCCGUACCGUAAACCGACACAGGUAGUCGAGGAGAGUAUCCUAAGGUGAGCGAGCGAACUCUCGUUAAGGAACUCGGCAAAAUGACCCCGUAACUUCGGGAGAAGGGGUGCUGACUUCGGUCAGCCGCAGUGAAUAGGCCCAAGCGACUGUUUAUCAAAAACACAGGUCUCUGCAAAAUCGUAAGAUGAAGUAUAGGGGCUGACGCCUGCCCGGUGCUGGAAGGUUAAGAGGAUGGGUUAGCUUCGGCGAAGCUCAGAAUUGAAGCCCCAGUAAACGGCGGCCGUAACUAUAACGGUCCUAAGGUAGCGAAAUUCCUUGUCGGGUAAGUUCCGACCCGCACGAAAGGCGUAACGAUUUGGGCACUGUCUCAACGAGAGACUCGGUGAAAUUUUAGUACCUGUGAAGAUGCAGGUUACCCGCGACAGGACGGAAAGACCCCAUGGAGCUUUACUGUAGUUUGAUAUUGAGUGUUUGUACCACAUGUACAGGAUAGGUAGGAGCCGAUGAGACCGGAACGCUAGUUUCGGAGGAGGCGCUGGUGGGAUACUACCCUUGUGUUAUGAACCCUCUAACCCGCACCACUAAUCGUGGUGGGAGACAGUGUCAGAUGGGCAGUUUGACUGGGGCGGUCGCCUCCUAAAAGGUAACGGAGGCGCCCAAAGGUUCCCUCAGAAUGGUUGGAAAUCAUUCGAAGAGUGUAAAGGCAGAAGGGAGCUUGACUGCGAGACCUACAAGUCGAGCAGGGACGAAAGUCGGGCUUAGUGAUCCGGUGGUUCCGCAUGGAAGGGCCAUCGCUCAACGGAUAAAAGCUACCCUGGGGAUAACAGGCUUAUCUCCCCCAAGAGUCCACAUCGACGGGGAGGUUUGGCACCUCGAUGUCGGCUCGUCGCAUCCUGGGGCUGUAGUCGGUCCCAAGGGUUGGGCUGUUCGCCCAUUAAAGCGGCACGCGAGCUGGGUUCAGAACGUCGUGAGACAGUUCGGCCCCUAUCCGUCGCGGGCGUUGGAAAUUUGAGAGGAGCUGUCCUUAGUACGAGAGGACCGGGAUGGACUUACCGCUGGUGUACCAGUUGUUCUGCCAAGGGCAUUGCUGGGUAGCUAUGUAGGGAAGGGAUAAACGCUGAAAGCAUCUAAGUGUGAAGCCCACCUCAAGAUGAGAUUUCCCAUUUCUUUAAGAAAGUAAGACCCCUGAGAGAUGAUCAGGUAGAUAGGUUGGAAGUGGAAGGCUAGUGAUAGUUGGAGCGGACCAAUACUAAUCGGUCGAGGACUUAACCAA